UAAGGGCGUUGAAGCAUGAUCGUAAGGACAUGUGGAGCGCUUAGAAGUGAGAAUGCCGGUGUGAGUAGCGAAAGACGGGUGAGAAUCCCGUCCACCGAUUGACUAAGGUUUCCAGAGGAAGGCUCGUCCGCUCUGGGUUAGUCGGGUCCUAAGCUGAGGCCGACAGGCGUAGGCGAUGGAUAACAGGUUGAUAUUCCUGUACCACCUAUAAUCGUUUUAAUCGAUGGGGGGACGCAGUAGGAUAGGCGAAGCGUGCGAUUGGAUUGCACGUCUAAGCAGUAAGGCUGAGUAUUAGGCAAAUCCGGUACUCGUUAAGGCUGA
rnacentral:rRNA from 1 species